rnacentral:rRNA from 1 species
UCCAGACUCCUACGGGAGGCAGCAGUGGGGGAUAUUGCACAAUGGGGGAAACCCUGAUGCAGCGACGCCGCGUGGGCGAAGAAGUAUUUCGGUAUGUAAAGCCCUAUCAGCAGGGAAGAAGAAAUGACGGUACCUGAGUAAGAAGCACCGGCUAAAUACGCGCCAGCAGCCGCGGUAAUACGUAGGGGGCAAGCGUUAUCCGGAUUCACUGGGUGUAAAGGGAGCGUAGACGGCGACGCAAGUCUGGAGUGAAAGCCCGGGGCCCAACCCCGGGACUGCUCUGGAAACUGCGUCGCUGGAGUACGGGAGGGGCAGGCGGAAUUCCUGGUGUAGCGGUGAAAUGCGUAGAUAUCAGGAGGAACACCGGCGGCGAAGGCGGCCUGCUGGACCGUGACUGACGUUGAGGCUCGAGAGCGUGGGGAGCAAACAGGAUUAGAUACCCCCGUA